CCUGGCGGCCUUAGCGCGGUGGUCCCACCUGACCCCAUGCCGAACUCAGAAGUGAAACGCCGUAGCGCCGAUGAUAGUGUGGGGUCUCCCCAUGCGAGAGUAGGGAACUGCCAGGC
rnacentral:rRNA from 2 species